GCAGAGCCCGUCGAUGCGGGCCCGGACGAGGGAGCCGUACCCGGCAGCGCGACAAGACGGCCAUC
rnacentral:ncRNA from 1 species